rnacentral:rRNA from 1 species
CCUACGGGUGGCAGCAGUGAGGAAUAUUGGUCAAUGGACGAGAGUCUGAACCAGCCAAGUAGCGUGAAGGAUGACUGUCCUAUGGGUUGUAAACUUCUUUUAUAAAGGAAUAAAACGAGGCACGCGUGCCUUUUUGCAUGUACUUUAUGAAUAAGGAUCGGCUAACUCCGUGCCAGCAGCCGCGGUUAUACGGAGGAUCCGAGCGUUAUCCGGAUUUAUUGGGUUUAAAGGGAGCGUAGAUGGGUUGUUAAGUUAGUUGGGAAAGUUUGCGGCUCAAACGUAAAAUUGCAAUUGAUACUGGCAGUCUUGAGUACAGUAGAGGUAGGCGGAAUGCGUGGUGUAGCGGUGAAAUGCAUAGAUAUCACGAAGAACCCCGAUUGCGAAGGCAGCUUACUAAACUGUGACUGACAUUGAUGCACGAAAGUGUGGGUAUCGAACAGGAUUAGAUACCCUUGUAGUC